rnacentral:rRNA from 1 species
AUUGAACGCUGGCGGCAUGCUUUACACAUGCAAGUCGAACGGUAACAGGCCGCAAGGUGCUGACGAGUGGCGAACGGGUGAGUAAUGCAUCGGAACGUGCCUAGUCGUGGGGAUAACUACUCGAAAGAGUAGCUAAUACCGCAUACGAUCUAUGGAUGAAAGCGGGGGACCGUAAGGCCUCGCGCGAUUGGAGCGGCCGAUGUCAGAUUAGGUAGUUGGUGGGGUAAAGGCUCACCAAGCCAACGAUCUGUAGCUGGUCUGAGAGGACGACCAGCCACACUGGGACUGAGACACGGCCCAGACUCCUACGGGAGGCAGCAGUGGGGAAUUUUGGACAAUGGGCGCAAGCCUGAUCCAGCAAUGCCGCGUGCAGGAAGAAGGCCUUCGGGUUGUAAACUGCUUUUGUACGGAACGAAACGGCUCUGGUUAAUACCCGGGGCUAAUGACGGUACCGUAAGAAUAAGCACCGGCUAACUACGUG